rnacentral:rRNA from 1 species
UACGAAGGGGGCUAGCGUUGUUCGGAAUUACUGGGCGUAAAGCGCACGUAGGCGGACUAUUAAGUCGGGGGUGAAAUCCUGGAGCUCAACUCCAGAACUGCCUUCGAUACUGGCGACCUUGAGUCCGGGAGAGGCGAGUGGAACUCCGAGUGUAGAGGUGAAAUUCGUAGAUAUUCGGAAGAACACCAGUGGCGAAGGCGGCUCACUGGCCCGGUACUGACGCUGAGGUGCGAAAGCGUGGGGAGCAAACAGG